rnacentral:rRNA from 1 species
GGUUAAGCGACUAAGCGUACACGGUGGAUGCCCUGGCAGUCAGAGGCGAUGAAGGACGUGCUAAUCUGCGAAAAGCGUCGGUAAGGUGAUAUGAACCGUUAUAACCGGCGAUGUCCGAAUGGGGAAACCCAGUGUGAUUCGUCACACUAUCGUUAACUGAAUACAUAGGUUAACGAGGCGAACCGGGGGAACUGAAACAUCUAAGUACCCAGAGGAAAAGAAAUCAACCGAGAUUCCCCCAGUAGCGGCGAGCGAACGGGGAGCAGCCCAGAGUCUGAAUCAGCUUGUGUGUUAGUGGAACGGUCUGGAAAGUCCGACGGUACAGGGUGAUAGUCCCGUACACCAAAAUGCACAGGCUGUGAACUCGAAGAGUAGGGCGGGACACGUGGUAUCCUGUCUGAAUAUGGGGGGACCAUCCUCCAAGGCUAAAUACUCCUGACUGACCGAUAGUAAACCAGUACCGUGAGGGAAAGGCGAAAAGAACCCCGG